rnacentral:rRNA from 1 species
UGGGGAAUAUUGCGCAAUGGGCGAAAGCCUGACGCAGCGACGCCGCGUGAGGGAUGAAGGUUUUCGGAUCGUAAACCUCUGUCAGAAGGGAAGAAACCGCACUGUGCUAAUCAGCAGUGCCUUGAUGGUACCUUCAAAGGAAGCACCGGCUAACUCCGUGCCAGCAGCCGCGGUAAUACGGAGGGUGCAAGCGUUAAUCGGAAUUACUGGGCGUAAAGCGCACGUAGGCUGCUUUGUAAGUCAGGGGUGAAAUCCCACGGCUCAACCGUGGAACUGCCUUUGAUACUGCUUAGCUUGAAUCCGGGAGAGGGUGGCGGAAUUCCAGGUGUAGGAGUGAAAUCCGUAGAUAUCUGGAGGAACAUCAGUGGCGAAGGCGGCCACCUGGACCGGUAUUGACGCUGAGGUGCGAAAGCGUGGGGAGCAAACAGG